rnacentral:rRNA from 1 species
UGCUCUUAUGAAGUUAGCGGCGGACGGGUGAGUAACACGUGGGUAACCUGCCCAUAAGACUGGGAUAACUCCGGGAAACCGGGGCUAAUACCGGAUAACAUUUUGAACCGCAUGGUUCGAAAUUGAAAGGCGGCUUCGGCUGUCACUUAUGGAUGGACCCGCGUCGCAUUAGCUAGUUGGUGAGGUAACGGCUCACCAAGGCAACGAUGCGUAGCCGACCUGAGAGGGUGAUCGGCCACACUGGGACUGAGACACGGCCCAGACUCCUACGGGAGGCAGCAGUAGGGAAUCUUCCGCAAUGGACGAAAGUCUGACGGAGCAACGCCGCGUGAGUGAUGAAGGCUUUCGGGUCGUAAAACUCUGUUGUUAGGGAAGAACAAGUGCUAGUUGAAUAAGCUGGCACCUUGACGGUACCUAACCAGAAAGCCACGGCUAACUACGUGCCAGCAGCCGCGGUAAUACGUAGGUGGCAAGCGUUAUCCGGAAUUAUUGGGCGUAAAGCGCGCGCA